rnacentral:rRNA from 1 species
GACGAACCGUGCGAACGUUGUUCGGAAUCACUGGGCUUAAAGGGCGCGUAGGCGGCUCGCCAAGUCAGGGGUGAAAUACUUCAGCUUAACUGGAGAAGUGCCCUUGAUACUGGCGGGCUCGAGGGAGGUAGGGGUCUGUGGAACUUCUGGUGGAGCGGUGAAAUGCGUAGAUAUCUAAGGGAACGCCUGUGGCGAAAGCGGGUGACUGGGCCUGUCCUGACGCUGAGACGCGAAAGCGUAGGGAGCAAACGGGG